AAGUCGUAACAAGGUUUCCGUAGGUGAACCUGCGGAAGGAUCAUUAACACGUAUCCAAACGUUAAAACCCCCCGUGAAACUUCAUCCUGCUCUUGUAACCCGCGUAGUUCGCACCUGCCCGAGUGUACGGUCUACAGGAAUCGUAGAAGCGCUAUCCUUGCACAAUCAAUGACACUUUCCGACACUGACUGCUUGGGGAAACAUUGCCUAUAGAACUACCGCUCGAUUGUAACUGUUCCAAUGUUCGCACGUAGCCAGAGGUCUCUGAAUCACUACAACUUUCCGGGCUAUGAUUUAUCAGAGCUUUGCCAAAGGGUCCCCAUGCCCCCUAAUAACCCCACAGUUUAAUGUGAAGCUCAAUGUAAUACAUUGGGUAAAAAAACCGAACAACUGUUAACAAUGGAUAUCUUGGUUCUC
rnacentral:misc_RNA from 1 species